UACGUAGGGUGCGAGCGUUAAUCGGAAUUACUGGGCGUAAAGCGUGCGCAGGCGGUUCGCUGUGUCCUGUGUGAAAGCCCCGGGCUCAACCUGGGAAUGGCAUGGGAAACUGGCGAGCUGGAGUGUGGCAGAGGGGGGUGGAAUUCCGCGUGUAGCAGUGAAAUGCGUAGAGAUGCGGAGGAACACCGAUGGCGAAGGCAGCCCCCUGGGCUAACACUGACGCUCAGGCACGAAAGCGUGGGGAGCAAACAGG
rnacentral:rRNA from 1 species